GACGAACGCUGGCGGCGUGCCUAAUACAUGCAAGUCGAACGGUUUAGUUCCAAGAGGCAAGACUCUUGGAACUAAGCAGUGGCGGACGGGUGAGUAACACGUAGGCAACCUACCUGUCAAACCGGGAUAACCUCGGGAAACCGAAGCUAAACCCGGAUAAGCUCCUUUUUCGCAUGAAGGGGGAGUGAAAAGGUGCGACCUGAUGACAGAUGGGCCUGCGGCGCAUUAGCUAGUAGGUAGGGUAACGGCCUACCUAGGCGAUGAUGCGUAGCCGACCUGAGAGGGCGUACGGCCACACUGGGACUGAGAUACGGCCCAGACUCCUACGGGAGGCAGCAGUAGGGAAUCUUCGGCAAUGGGCGAAAGCCUGACCGAGCAACGCCGCGUGAGUGAGGAAGGCCUUCGGGGUGUAAAACUCUGUUGUUUGGGAAGAAGGGAAAGGGUAGGACCCUUAGGUGACGGUACCAAACGAGAAAGCCCCGGCUAACUACGUG
rnacentral:rRNA from 1 species